rnacentral:rRNA from 1 species
AGUGAACGCUGGCGGUAGGCCUAACACAUGCAAGUCGAACGGCAGCACAGUAAGAGCUUGCUCUUACGGGUGGCGAGUGGCGGACGGGUGAGGAAUACAUCAGAAUCUACUUUUUCGUGGGGGAUAACGUAGGGAAACUUACGCUAAUACCGCAUACGACCUACGGGUGAAAGCAGGGGAUCUUCGGACCUUGCGCGAUUGAAUGAGCCGAUGUCGGAUUAGCUAGUUGGCGGGGUAAAGGCCCACCAAGGCGACGAUCCGUAGCUGGUCUGAGAGGAUGAUCAGCCACACUGGAACUGAGACACGGUCCAGACUCCUACGGGAGGCAGCAGUGGGGAAUAUUGGACAAUGGGCGCAAGCCUGAUCCAGCCAUACCGCGUGGGUGAAGAGGGCCUUCGGGUUGUAAAGCCCUUUUGUUGGGAAAGAAAAGCAGCAGGUUAAUACCCCGCUGUUCUGACGGUACCCAAAGAAUAAGCACCGGCUAACUUCGUG